GGGCGGGUGGCGAAAUGGCAGACGCGCUAGCUUUAGGAGCUAGUUCCGCAAGGAGUGGAGGUUCAAGUCCUCUCCCGCCCA
rnacentral:tRNA from 2 species